UUGAUAGAGGGCAUUUUAGAAUUACAGUCUAAUUUAUGAAGAUGUGAUAGGUAAAGCAAAUUUUUUAACUGGUUUCUUGUUGCCUUUGGGGUUAUUUCUGCAGACUGCUCAUAUUUGAUAACAUAGAGAAUGGAAGCUUAAAAAAGCAUCUCAAUGAUCCCUUGAAGACUCCCUUAAAUUGGAGGACGAGGUUGCAGAUUGCUAAUGAAGUUGUAGUAGCACUGGAAUACUUGUUUCUUUUUAGUGAUCCACCGGCAUAUCAUGUCUCUAUCAGCUCAAGCAAUAUUAUGUUAGAUGAGAACUUUGCAGCUAAAGUAAGGAAACAUUUCUUUUCUCACUAGAACUAUCAUAUUCUAUAUUUGAUUGACAUGCCAGAAGUAAAUAAAGCACUUCAAUGUUAAAAUAGUGU